CCAUCGCCCAUAUACUAGAUUGCUCUACUCUCUAUUCCCAUAUUACCACCCAUUGUUAUCUUACCUUUAAUAUUGUUCUUAUUCGAUUCUACCAUCUUUCCUAUCUACACCUAUUUACUUAUCUUGGUUAAGUUAGAGCGUAGAUCAGUUCUCCCGUUUCCCUGUGGAUACGAUAAAACCUUUAACCGGGUAAAAGCUAUAACGGUAUCCGUGCGCUUGCGGAUUAUCUGUGUGCGUAUAAAUACCAUAGUACACUCUAUUGCCAUGCUGGGGAUGACAACCUAGUAUUCAAGUGGUGUUAGCAAGUGUCAACAAGCAUUUUUGGCGCCGUUGCCGGGGAAACGGUUGCUGAGUUGACUACGAACUAGCUUAAUCAUUUUCUAAAAUAAAUAAUAAUAAAAAAAAAUAUUUUCCUUUUAUCCUUUGCCUCAUCUCUGCUAAUCUUUCUUCUUAUCUAAUCCUUGUUCUCUGGUCUAUCAUGAAUUCAAACAUGUCUAUCUAUGAGUUUCAUAGACCUACGGCCACACAUCUCGAACCACCAAAAUCUUCAAAGCCUAUCAUAGCAUCUAGUUUUGAGAUAGACCCCGAAUACAUAGACUUUGUUCAAAAACAACCUUUCUCAGGAGAAUGUGAGGAAAACCCAUACACACACC
rnacentral:lncRNA from 1 species